UACGGAGGGUGCAAGCGUUGUUCGGAAUUAUUGGGCGUAAAGCGCGUGUAGGCGGCCAUGUAAGUCUGGUGUGAAAUCCCGGGGCUCAACCCCGGAAGAGCACUGGAUACUGUGUGGCUAGAGGACGAGAGAGGGAAGCGGAAUUCCUGGUGUAGGGGUGAAAUCCGUAGAUAUCAGGAGGAACAUCGGAGGCGAAGGCGGCUUCCUGGCUCGUAACUGACGCUGAGACGCGAAAGCAUGGGGAGCAAACAGG
rnacentral:rRNA from 1 species